rnacentral:rRNA from 1 species
ACAUGCCUACAACAAAGCAUUAAUGCACUGGAUUCCAUUAGAACUUUGCAGUUAAGCGCACUCAUGCUAGAGUAGUAUUGGGAUGGGUGAUUGCCUGGGAAGUCCUAUUGUUUUACAUGCC